CACCUUCCUGCAUUUCAUUCCUAUUCCUGAGGCUAACAGUCAGGGUGACACACCACCCCUUAGAAAAAUGAGACGUUUCCAACUUGAGUCCCUCCUACUUCAUCCAUGGCAGAUGACCAUGCAUUUUGUCUGAAACCACGUAAGGGACACACCUGUGUAAGGCACUCACUGCGAUCCUGAAGGGCAGAUUGGGUCAUUUCUAUGAACCACGCUGCCUUUCAAGCACCGCAGCAUUAUUUACCAUCUCCAUGCAGAAGCACUCAUCCUGGGAAAAAAAAAAAGGACAGCAAGAGCUGCCAUAUAAAAACAGAUAGAAACACGGACCGCUGUGACUCUGGACAGAGGUGACCGCAAGUUUCUGUGGGGCUCACUCUUUUUCAGUACACUGUGGAUUUAAAUUGCACUUUUUUUGUUUUUAAAGCAAGGCAUGUUUUAAUACAAACAUCCAGAUUAUAGGAAGUUUUGUAACAGUAAAAACAGAUCUGUGUACUCAGAUCUAUUUUACAAGAUUGCAAAGCCGAACACCGAGACCAGUCUUGAGAGCAGCAACUCUAGUUACAAAACCAAAAUGCUUUACACACAGAACACAGCCUGAUGCUUGUCAAGAUCACCGGCACAACACCCAGUUUCAGCACUGUUUUUUCUAGUUGUAAAUGA